rnacentral:rRNA from 1 species
AUACGUAGGGUGCGAGCGUUGUCCGGAAUUACUGGGCGUAAAGAGCUCGUAGGUGGUUUGUCGCGUCGUCUGUGAAAUUCCGGGGCUUAACUCCGGGCGUGCAGGCGAUACGGGCAUAACUUGAGUACUGUAGGGGAGACUGGAAUUCCUGGUGUAGCGGUGAAAUGCGCAGAUAUCAGGAGGAACACCGGUGGCGAAGGCGGGUCUCUGGGCAGUAACUGACGCUGAGGAGCGAAAGCAGGGGUAGCGAACAGGAUUAGAUACCCUGGUAGUCCAUGUCGUAAACGGUGGGCGCUAGGUGUAGGGGUCUUCCACGACUUCUGUGCCGUAGCUAACGCAUUAAGCGCCCCGCCUGGGGAGUACGGCCGCAAGGCUAAAACUCAAUGAAUUGACGGGG